rnacentral:lncRNA from 1 species
GAUUGUGAGUUGGAGGAAGAAAAAAGGGGAUACUCCUCUAUAAUUAGGACUCUAGGGGAGCAGAGCGGUUCCCUCCCCGUCAGAAACUUUCAUCGGGAAACGGGCCAUUUGUCCCUGUGCCAUGUGUUACGAACAGUCCUAUGGGUUUCUUCUACAGACUUGACACAAUGUGUUUCUUCUCAUCAUGGAUGAAAGUUACUUUUGCCAUUGCCUUGCUGUUUCCUCUUCAUUCUGAUGAAGCGGUGGCAAAUUUACCUUUGCUCAUUAUGGUAACUGCUGACUUUUUGCUGAAGCUACACCGUCCUGUGGCUUUUACUGUGAUCCCAUUGUGCAGUGGCUUAUACAGACAAUUAGACUUUCCCAAUCAGGAUCUUCCUUUCUUAAAGGAUCAGGGGAAGUCUAUGGAAUACAAGGUAAAGUAGAGGGUAUUCCAAGUUCUAUCCCACUUGGAGAUUUCCUGAUUUCAGGAUUUUUAUUCUCUAUGUUCAAUUCUUCCAUGACAGUUUGAAAAACUAGUAUCUUAAUUACAUGUUUAAUAGUGGAAAACCUAAUACAAUUUGAAAUCCUAAAUAUUUUGCUUGAUAAAAUGCUAAAUGGCAUUAUAUUUAUUAAAAGGCCCUUGUGUAUUUGGUUGGGUAAGGAGUUAAGACAUACACACUUUUUCUUUCUUACUUUUUUUUUUUUGAGGAAGAUUAGCCCUGAGCUAACAUCUGCCACCAAUCUUCCUCUUUUUUGCUGAGGAAGACUGGCCCUGAGCUAACAUACAUGCCCAUCUUUCCCUCCUUUAUAUGUGGGACUCCUGACACAGCAUGAAUGCCAAGCAGUGUGUAGGUCCACACCUGGGAUCUGAACCAGCAAACUCUGGGCCGCCACAGCAGUAUGUGCGAACCUAACCCCUGCACCACUGGGCAGGCACCAAGACAUACAUUUUUGAUACCUAUAAUUAAAGAGAGAUUUUCCAAAAGUGACCCAGUAGUACACUACGUAGGUGUUCAAAAAGUGCUGAUGACUUGGAUUCUCUCUGUUCUAAAGAUUCAGAGCCUGCAGGAGAGAUUUCUGAGAAACUGAAAAUCCAACAAGCACCGCAGGUUAUAUUAUGAUCAUGGAUCUUAGAGAACACUGGCUUCGCCUCU